rnacentral:lncRNA from 1 species
UUUUUUUUUUUUUUUUUCUGUUCAGAGCUUCCUGCUUGGUGUUUGCCUAAGUAGGGAGGAAAGCCAUUGUUUGAACUUUGCAACAACAGAUUGCAAGCUAAGGCUUUUCUACACUUUGUUUAAUUUUCCUGAAAUGUUCCUUUUUACAGAAAAGAUCUGUUGUUGACCUAGCAUGCUUUUUGUCUUACUCAAUACUCCCCUGGGGAUGUAGUUAAAACAACACUUAGCUGUAAUUCUCCUGGGUGGAGAAGUGUUUGGUGGUGGCAAUGAAACUAAAGCACAGAUUUGAGCAACUGUGGGCUGUUGACUUUAUGCUAGCCUUUCAUAAAGAGAAACCUCAAAACACCGUGGCCAUUCAGCAAACAGUUCAUGUGCCUGGGAAAGAUUGAUGCCAGCUCCAGAAAGGCAUCCGAAUGGUCUAAGUAAUGCCAUCCAUCUGUCAGUAAUAGAUUCAGAAAUGGAAUUCUGGAGGAAAGUGGCUCUGGGAAUUGAACAGUGGCUCAGUGAUGUUGGGGCCACCAAGUCUGCAAUUCUCCCUACCUGUUCUUCAUGGUUGUAAGAUGACUGCUGCAAUUCUCGGCAUCAUGUGCAUGUUAAUGUCAGGAGGAAGAAAGGAAGAGGGAGCACUGGGAUGUUACAUUCAUUUUGUCAGGAAAAGCAAAGCCUUUCCAGACAGCUCCGAAACUUGCUUACCUCUCAUUGGCCAGCACCAUCACUUGACCACUUGUCCACUCCUAGCUGCAAGGAAAGUGGCAAAGUAGAAGGUAUUUGAGAAUGUCUGCUGGGUUAGCCAAAACAAUAGUGACUUCUACACCCAAUUUUCUGGGCACUGCAGAAGUAUCCUUGAGUCCUAUGUGAUCAGAGGGAGAGCAAACCUCAAUAAUGAAACAGAUUCAAUUUCCAUCACCCAGUGAGACACCAUGGGAUUAGAAUAAAUUUUUAAAAAAACAAAUUGAAAAAAAUGCAUUUUUAAAACAACAAAAUCAGAAAGGAUGAAAGGUGAUAUUUCUAGCAUAUCAGUUUGUGGUGGUAAAUUAAUUACCUUAUACAAAGGCCUCAGUGACUUUCUUCUCCUUACCUAACGAAUCAUCUUUAAAAUAAGUAAAAUAAAGAAACAAGAGCAGCAGCAGAUGCUUCCUAAAAAGAAGUUACCAAAUCUGUUCACCACAAACCUGAGAAUUCAACUGUGGACAUUUGGACACCAGCAAUGAACAUGAAACUCAGCUUAUGAGGCAUAUUUGGCUAAAGGUCAAGGUGACUUAAAGUUCAUCAUAGGACAUCUACAAUUUGCAAAGCAGGUGACUGGAUAUGGACUCCUUCCAAGUCUCAUUUAAUUGGAUAAUGCCUACGUUUUAAGUAUCAGAAAGGGACCAUAAAGGUGCCAGCCUAAGGAACACGUAAAACGUGGGAACAGACAAACAAGCUGCUGCCUAUUACAGAGAUAGAUAAUUAACUUUGGACCAUUACAUGCAAUUCAUCA